UACAGAGGGGGGCAAGCGUUGUUCGGAAUUACUGGGCGUAAAGGGCGCGUAGGCGGCCUGUUAAGUCGAACGUGAAAUCCCCGGGCUCAACCCGGGAACUGCGUCCGAUACUGGCAGGCUUGAAUCCGGGAGAGGGAUGCGGAAUUCCAGGUGUAGCGGUGAAAUGCGUAGAUAUCUGGAGGAACACCGGUGGCGAAGGCGCAUCCUGGACCGGCAUUGACGCUGAGGCGCGAAAGCCAGGGGGAGCAAACGGG
rnacentral:rRNA from 1 species